rnacentral:rRNA from 1 species
GACGAACGCUGGCGGCGCGCCUAACACAUGCAAGUCGAACGGAGUUAUUUCAGCAGAAGCUUUCGGGUGGACGCAGGGAUAACCUAGUGGCGGACGGGUGAGUAACGCGUGAGCAAUCUGCCUUUAGGGGGGGAUAACAGUCGGAAACGGCUGCUAAUACCGCAUAAUGCAUCAAUUUCGCAUGUUAUUGAUGCCAAAGGAGCAAUCCGCCUUUAGAUGAGCUCGCGUCUGAUUAGCUAGUUGGCGGGGUAACGGCCCACCAAGGCGUCGACGGGUAGCCGGCCUGAGAGGGUGGACGGCCACAUUGGGACUGAGACACGGCCCAG